rnacentral:lncRNA from 1 species
AGACUUCAGUGAGGCAGAGUUGCAAAAAGUCAUCAGCCUCCCUCUUUCUUCCAGAGUCAUCAAAGUCCAAUGGCAAGACAACAAUCAGGAUGACUGAAGAUGGCUCAGAUGCAGUGAAUGACCUUGGCAUCUUUGAUGUCUGACCCAGCUCCACAGCACCAGCCUUCAUGACUGUUGGAACAAAUUCUUCUCAUCUACCCAUUCUACUUCCAAAAAUAUUCAUGUGCCUGGGGUAGACACCCCCCCCCCCCCACUUAUUGGGAAGACUUCAUGUGCUUGGAAUUGACAUCCCUUGAACUCACUGGUUUGAAGCCUGUUGGUUAUCUUCAAUCUGUCUACCAUUAUGGUUUUGCCAGGGUGUGGCCACUGUGCAUGCUACAACUUUUUGGAGCCACAGAUGAUGAAACAGCCCCUGAGAGGAAAUGACCUGGGCACAAACCGAAUCCUCUAAACUCCACCUUUAGCAUUCUCCUGGAUUCAGCAUCUAGAAGUUUCUAAGGAUUCAAAUGCUUUAGGGGUAAAGACCCAGGAUCUAGAUGAAGGAAUGACAUUUUUCAUUGUAACCAAAUAGUCAAACACUGUGUCAAAGCAACCAGAUACUGUGGCCAGAGAAACAGCAUGGUUGGUUUCCUUCUAUAGAUUCGGCCCCUUUUUCUGGAAUAUCUCCAAUCUUUGACUUCCUGAUUAUAAAAUUCCUGGAUGAAAAAGUCCCCUCCACUGUAUUGGGUUUUCUGACUGUUGCCAAGAAAAUGCUCACCUUUGUUUUUUGGAAUAAAAUGUUGAAUCCCAC